ensembl:lncRNA
CAGCAAGAUACCACAACUUCAAGGCUUUAGAGGAACUGCUUGGUGCUUUGGGAAAUACUGUUGCUAAAGGUUAAAUCGUACCUUAUGAGGUUAUGUGUGAGGCUUUGGUCUUGUGUUAAAGCAGCGGUUGCAAUGUCAUCUUAACUAAUUUGCUAAUCUUUUAUAUGUCUUUAUCAGAGUGGAAUUUGAACUCUCGCCAUUAACAUUUUGGCAGCAGCUCUGUUGUUCUUUUUGGAGCUGUAUUUAGGCUAGAGGGUGAAAGCACUGUACUGUCAGCUGAGGUCAGCAGACUAUAUCAAGAAACCGUUUGGUUACAGUACCCACAAAGAGAAUACUGUUAAUUAGGUAUAAGUGAUAAAAUAUUCAGAUUGCAGUCAUCAAAACUCAAACACAGACUUGUUGAAAGUCCACACAAGUUAGAAAGUCACAUUGUUUGUCAGAUAAUUCCGUUAAAAAAAUCCUCAAAGGCACCACCUUUAAAGCCGGGACAUGCAGUUCAAGCUGAGGCUUAGCAGGAUUCAUAUGUCCAGCAGAAGCAGUGCGAUCGCUGUCCGCUGGCAGUCUGAGAAAGAAUCAUCUCCCUACACUGAGCUCCGUUUCCAGGUGGAGGACGUGUACAGUCUGGUACAACUGGGAGCUUCUCUUGCUUGUGCUGGUGUUGGUUCGUCAGCCAGCUGUGGAAAACAAAAGUUAGGCUUCCAAUGAGCUGAAGGGAAACCAAAUGUUAAAAGCAAGAGAAAGUGUCACUGUGCUUUUCAUGCUGUAGUUUUUGGAUCUUAGACACGUACAUCAUCCACUUCUGCCGAUGUGCUGUCAGGAUCUUGGAGGACACCAAAGGAGUGUGUUUGGAGUUGGUGAACCCCGUUUAUGCAGACAGACACAGUUAAACAGCUUCUGCUUUAGGAAACAGUCAUUGCCUAGACCUGCCUGUGUCUGCACCUGUCAGUCAAACUGGCCAUGGCCAGAAAUCCAAAUGGGUGAAUUGUAGUUGCCGUAAAGUGGGAAAUUAGCUGUAAUCAUGUUCAUGACAGAAGUUGGGCAUUUUAACAUGGGAGUCUAUGGGAAGUGGCAGUUAGACACGUCUGUGGUGCCUUUGUUCUUCAGCCACAGAAGCUGGUGUUUAAUAGAAAAGUCCAAAGGACACUUUCAUUUCUGUUAAAAAAGUUAUUCUUUUGUACUUUUCAGGGGAAAUACAGCUGAUGUUUUGGCAGGACAGUAACGUAUGCAGUGACCAAAAAUGCAGACAUUCAUAUUCAUUCUCACAAAGCAUUUUGUACUACUAGUGGGUUUUGAAAACCUGCAUGGUUGUAGCAUCCGAUACGUUAACAACGUGCUGCACAUGUGUUGAUGGCACAGCCGGUGGCAGCUGAGACACACCUCGUGGCUUUAACCAAAACCGAGUCAGUCGUUUCUGUCCAGAUUGAUGAUGAGUCGAAACCAAAGGCCAGUUGUGGAUGUGAGCAGUUUAAAAAAACAAAAACAGAAAAACAUGUCUCAUUAGAAAUGAAAUAGUACUUUAGUAUUCUAGAGAAAAAUCCUGUGGAGAGAAUAAAGAGUGAACAAUCACAUCCCUGCUGGUUCUUUAAUCUGUCUGAAAACACACUGAAAGAUGGGAGGAAAGGAAAACUAAGAGACUAGCAAACAUUCCACAAUGCCAUGUCAUAUACUGUACAGCAACCCUGUCUCCUCCUCUUCCCUUUCUCUCCCCCUCCCACACCCCCCUGUCUGUCUCUCAGUAAUCCAGUAAUCACAAUACUACAGUAAUACUUUGGACCUGUUAACACAUUAACUCAUCUUUAUGUAAGUCAGUACGUAAUCCUUAAUAAUAAUCAAAAAAAGAAAAAAAAUACAAGAAGUGCCGUACAAAUAGAAGCCUAAUAUUUUUUGUUUUUGUUUUGUGUGAGUGUACUGUACACCUGUAUAAUGUAUAUUUUAAUAUUUAUAUGCAGCUGUUGUAUUAAAGUAUAUUUUUAAAAUAAAA